AAAAGCAAAAAAAAGUUUUGAAAGGCAAAAAGAAGGAGAGCCACCCGCCACCAGCUGCCGCAGGAGGAGGGAAGGUCUGAAAAGCUCAACAGAGAGUAAAAAGUGGAGAGAGAGUUGUGGGGGAAGGCCAGCCAACCAGAGCAACGCCAAACCCCACCGUUCAAUUCAAUCAUCCAUCAAAUUUUUAGAACUUCACAGUGAUUUUGGAAAUCCACCCAGGAGAAAGAUUCUUGCUUUCCCAGAUCGACCCUUUUGAAACCCAGAUAAGAUCGUAUUGGAUCUGAACGUUUUGGGUUAGCAACAUGUCGUGUUCAUCUUCAUCGGCGUCUGAGGAUGAUGAGGGAAUCGAUUCUUACAGGAAAGGAGGGUAUCAUGCGGUGAGGAUCGGCGAUCAUUUCGCCGGCGGCCGCUAUGUUGCUCAGAGAAAGCUAGGUUGGGGUCAAUUCUCCACCGUCUGGCUCGCCUAUGAUACUCGCACCUCUAAAUAUGUAUCACUUAAGAUCCAGAAAAGUGCUCCCCAAUUUGCUGAAGCUGCACUUCAUGAAAUUGAAGUUCUUUCAGCAAUUUCGGGAAGCGAUCCCUCGAGCUCCAAGUGCAUUGUGCAACUGAUUGAUCAUUUUAAGCACGCGGGGCCGAAUGGACAACAUCUGUGUAUGGUUCUUGAGUUUCUUGGCGAUAGCCUACUUCGGUUGAUCAAGUAUAAUCGUUAUAAAGUUCUCGAGUUGAAUAAAGUCAGGGAGAUCUGCAGAUGUAUUUUGGUUGCUCUGGACUAUUUGCACAGAGAACUUGGCAUUAUCCACACUGAUCUGAAACCUGAAAAUAUUCUUCUGUUUUCCACCAUUGAUCCUACCAAAGAUCCUGUAAGAUCUGGACUGGCCCCUAUUCUUGAAAGGCCUGAGGGAAACACAAUUGGUGGAGCAACCAUGAAUCUUAUUGAGAAGAAAUUGAAAAGAAGAGCAAGGAGAGCAGUCUCGAGGAUCUCCGAACGAACCGUUUCUUUGGGAGGAGCGUCCCCGAAGCCUGAAGACAGAAAACUAGAUGGUAUUGAUCUGAGGUGCAAGAUUGUGGAUUUUGGUAAUGCAUGUUGGGCAGAUAAGCAGUUCAUGGAAGAAAUUCAAACAAGACAGUACCGAGCUCCUGAAGUCAUACUGCAGUCUGGAUAUUCCUACUCGGUUGACAUGUGGUCGUUUGGUUGCAUCGCUUUCGAACUCGCCACAGGUGAUAUGAUGCUUACUCCAAAAGUUGGACAAGACUAUAGCGAGGACGAGGUAAGGAUGGUUGCUAACACCAAUUCCUUAGUAAUAUGCUAUUUUUGGAAUAUACGAGUGAGCGAUAUGGUAGUUUUGGAACUUAUCAUUAUUAGCUGGUUCGAAAUACUCGAUUGUUCCUUCCUGCCAAUAGAACAGAAUGCUAUCCUACUCUUUUCUUAACUUGUAAAAAUGUUCAUAUUCGUGUGUUUAUAUGCACAUAUUGCGAUGCCUGUGACGAUGAGGAUACCGAGCGUGUUUGAAAGUUAAGGGAGCCGUUGUUUUGUUUGAUAAUGCUUUAUCUUUAGCAGCAUUUUGAGCUUCAUUUAGUUGAUAGCUAUAUGCAAGUAGGGGAAAUGUGGAAGGAUCAUCUUGCAUUAAUGAUGGAACUUCUUGGAAAGAUGCCUAAAAAAAUUGCUGUUGGAGGCGCUCGAUCGAAAGACUACUUCGAUAGGCACGGGGACCUGAAGAGGAUUCGGAGGCUGAAAUUCUGGCCUCUCAGUC